rnacentral:rRNA from 1 species
UUGGCUUAGAAGCAGCCAUCAUUUAAAGAAAGCGUAAUAGCUCACUGGUCGAGUCGGCCUGCGCGGAAGAUGUAACGGGGCUAAACCAUGCACCGAAGCUGCGGCAGCGACACUGUGUGUUGUUGGGUAGGGGAGCGUUCUGUAAGCCUGCGAAGGUGGCCUGUGAGGGUUGCUGGAGGUAUCAGAAGUGCGAAUGCUGACAUAAGUAACGAUAAAGCGGGUGAAAAGCCCGCUCGCCGGAAGACCAAGGGUUCCUGUCCAACGUUAAUCGGGGCAGGGUGAGUCGACCCCUAAGGCGAGGCCGAAAGGCGUAGUCGAUGGGAAACGGGUUAAUAUUCCCGUACUUGGUGUUACUGCGAAGGGGGGACGGAGAAGGCUAUGUUGGCCGGGCGACGGUUGUCCCGGUUUAAGCGUGUAGGUGUGUGUUCCAGGUAAAUCCGGUUCACUUUAACACUGAGGCGUGACGACGAGGCACUACGGUGCUGAAGCAACAAAUGCCCUGCUUCCAGGAAAAGCCUCUAAGCAUCAGGUAACAUCAAAUCGUACCCCAAACCGACACAGGUGGUCAGGUAGAGAAUACCAAGGCGCUUGAGAGAACUCGGGUGAAGGAACUAGGCAAAAUGGUGCCGUAACUUCGGGAGAAGGCACGCUGACACGUAGGUGAAGUGAUUUACUCAUGGAGCUGAAGUCAGUCGAAGAUACCAGCUGGCUGCAACUGUUUAUUAAAAACACAGCACUGUGCAAACACGAAAGUGGACGUAUACGGUGUGACGCCUGCCCGGUGCCGGAAGGUUAAUUGAUGGGGUCAGCGCAAGCGAAGCUCCUGAUCGAAGCCCCGGUAAACGGCGGCCGUAACUAUAACGGUCCUAAGGUAGCGAAAUUCCUUGUCGGGUAAGUUCCGACCUGCACGAAUGGCGUAAUGAUGGCCAGGCUGUCUCCACCCGAGACUCAGUGAAAUUGAACUCGCUGUGAAGAUGCAGUGUACCCGCGGCAAGACGGAAAGACCCCGUGAACCUUUACUAUAGCUUGACACUGAACAUUGAGCCUUGAUGUGUAGGAUAGGUGGGAGGCUUUGAAGUGUGGACGCCAGUCUGCAUGGAGCCGACCUUGAAAUACCACCCUUUAAUGUUUGAUGUUCUAACGUGGACCCGUUACCCGGGUUGCGGACAGUGUCUGGUGGGUAGUUUGACUGGGGCGGUCUCCUCCUAAAGAGUAACGGAGGAGCACGAAGGUUGGCUAAUCCUGGUCGGACAUCAGGAGGUUAGUGCAAUGGCAUAAGCCAGCUUGACUGCGAGCGUGACGGCGCGAGCAGGUGCGAAAGCAGGUCAUAGUGAUCCGGUGGUUCUGAAUGGAAGGGCCAUCGCUCAACGGAUAAAAGGUACUCCGGGGAUAACAGGCUGAUACCGCCCAAGAGUUCAUAUCGACGGCGGUGUUUGGCACCUCGAUGUCGGCUCAUCACAUCCUGGGGCUGAAGUAGGUCCCAAGGGUAUGGCUGUUCGCCAUUUAAAGUGGUACGCGAGCUGGGUUUAGAACGUCGUGAGACAGUUCGGUCCCUAUCUGCCGUGGGCGCUGGAGAACUGAGGGGGGCUGCUCCUAGUACGAGAGGACCGGAGUGGACGCAUCACUGGUGUUCGGGUUGUCAUGCCAAUGGCACUGCCCGGUAGCUAAAUGCGGAAGAGAUAAGUGCUGAAAGCAUCUAAGCACGAAACUUGCCCCGAG